GUUCGGUGGCUCGGGCAAGACGGGGCCGGUUCGGCCCAAGCAGUCGGCCCGGUCCGGUUUACUCUUUUUUUUUCCUUCUCUUUUUCCCUUUUCCUUAUUUCUUUCAUAUCGUUUGAAUUUGAACUCCAAAUUGAUCCAAAUAAGUUCCAGAAAAUUUGUAAAAUCAUGUUUUACCAUGAUUCAACUUUUGGGAGUAAUUUCCCUUCAAAAUAAAAUAUGUAAAAAUACAAUUUCCCUAUAAAUGCCUUUAGGGUUAUAUAUCUAUUCGAAUAAAAUACUUUUUCAACUCCAAAUAAUUAUCCAAAAAAAUAUGGGAUAGCUUAUAUAUGCAUUAAACCCCUUUUAUAUAUAAACCUUAAUGGUUUGAAGAUCCAAAGCUCAAAUAGGUGUAAACCCUAGGGUUUAAAAUGAAAUAAAAAUCUUUCCAAAGCUUUUUGAGAUUAAAAUUUGAAUUCAAAUAUGCAAUUGUGGCAUGAUGCUCAUGGAUGCAAUGCAUAUGUAAAAGUUUGAAAUUUUUGGGAUGUUAUACUACUUGUGUGAAUGCUGAA
rnacentral:lncRNA from 1 species